UUCCUGUAUCUUGAGGCAUUUUGCUAGUUCAUCAUUCUUGGGAAUAUUUGUUACCCAACCAAACUUGGGUCUGCUGCAGUGAAGCCAAUCUGCUGACACCCAGUGGUGAAGGAAAGUGCAGCACUUAAUGUCAGAAGCCUUAAAAGAGGGCUUUCCCAGGUGGCGCUAGUGGUAAAGAACUGGCUUGCCAAUGCAUUAGAUGUAAGAGACUAGGGUUCGAUCCCUUGGUCGGAAAGAUCCCCUGGAGAAGGGCAUGGCAGCCCACUCCAGUGUUCUUGCCUGGAGAGUCCUAUGGACAGAGGAGCCUGGCGGGCUACAGUCUAUAGGGUUGCAAAGAGUAGGACGUGACUGAAGCAAAUUAGCACGCACACCAUAAACAGAAUCUGGGAUAGCUCGUGCUGGGAGAGCCCGGACUCCUGAUGGGUUUCAGGAAAGCCUUUUUAAAGGCCAGUUACAGGAAUAAUUUCACCAUUACUCGUCAACUAUUACCAACUGUGCCCACAAUGACUAAACGAGCAAGAAAACAGGAGAGUGAUGACGUCACCUGAGAGGAUGAUGCUGCUUCCUUCAGUUUCCCACGUGGCCUCGGAAGUGCAGACACCCGCUCUGUGGCUGCAGUUUGUUCUACUGAAUGCAGUGGAGGGUCUGGAAUCUCCCAUCUGCUGCCUGCAACGCAGAGAAGCCUGACACGAGAAGUAAGGGCAUCAGAAGAUGCACAGAGCAGCGCUGGGCCACAGUGACGGUGGGAGCAGAUCCCAGUGUCUCUCCAUCAGCACCUGGACCAUCUCGCAUGACAACCCAGGACAAUAUUCUUUCAUCUUUGGUGAUGUCUGUGCUUUAAAACCACUUGAUGAAAGUACGGAGGCUGUAUUUAGAUUCUUAUUAAAAUUUCUAAUACAAUUUUUAUUCUUUAAAAAGAAAACCUGGAGCCUGAUCUAGGACUGAUGUGGGCCCUGGCAGGAUUUCGGUUAAAUGAACAAUUAGUGACGCCUGUGCCCCAUACCCCCGUGGCACACACCCAAACCUCCACAUCUGCUGAGGUCGAAUUGUCCAGCCAGUUUGAGGGGUGAGGUGUUCCCCACCUGUCUGGCUGCAUCAGCAUGCCUCUCUUGGUUGGCGGUGGGGGCCACAGGUCCUGUGUUUACAGCCACAGUUUUCAGCUGCUGGGAUCUAAGGGCUCCUUUGGCCCGUGUUUCUUGCUGAGUUCAUCUCUGUAAACAAGAUGUUGUGUGUGAGGGGUCCGAUCCUCAUAGCAUUGCCAAUCCUGUAUUUCUGAGAUUUCUGAGACUUUUGCUCAGUUGCAGGUGAAAAUUGCACUUGGGAGCUGCCCAUUGCUUUUCUUUAAUUGGGGGUGAGCAUUUUUUUAAUGCAUCUACAUCAGCUGUUACCUUGUUUGAGACCUGCCUGCUCCUUCCUAUCAUUCUUAUAUAUUUCCAGAGUGCUUUUCCCCAGGAAGAAAAUUGGAUCCUUGCCCUCUGUCCUCUCCUGCUCCCCAAAUCUUGACUUUGGGGUGUCAGCUCUUCUGGCCCUCAUAACCCCAGCCUCUCAGGUUGAUUGUUAAAGUUCCCAAACCCAAGACCCCCAAACCAUCAGAAAUGUUGUGAGGAUGCUCAUUUCUUGGGGACAAGGUGACAGUCUGGUGAGACCCUCUUACCGAUCCAUAAUCAGCAUCUAGCCCACUGGGAAAGUCAUCUCGAGGCUGGAGGUUCUCUGUCUCCUGUCAAAGGCCCCUGCUGUGCCUGGACCUCAGUUUCCCCACCUGUCAAUGAGGGGCUGCACUCCAGGAACUUGGUGUUCCCCUUCUGGCCUGAUGUGUCAAACCAGGAACACUAGCAGGGCCGGCUCCCUGCCGUAUCCUGGUCCUGCCGCCAGAGGGCAGGAGGCUCUGCACUUCACAUCACUCUGAGGGGAGGCAGCUGCCGCUGCAUAGACGUGAAUUGGUUAAGGCUCCUUGGGCUCCAUAGCACUCACAGGGACUGGGGACCUGGUUCAGACCCCGCCCGGCAGCUACACUGUACCAGGCUGGGUGCAGGCAGGGACACCAUCUGGGAGCUCCACACCUGCGAGCACGGAAGGCCCUUGAAGGCAGCUAGGGGCCAGGUCUGAGGAUUCCAGCAGAGAGAAGAGGGCGGGUCACAGGCAAGCCAGGGGAAAGAAAAGGUGUGUGUGUGUGUGUGUGCAGGCUGUGUCGUGGGCACAGCCACUACUCAGGGCCCUUCUCCUUGUUCAAACCUUUCCCGUGGCUCCAGAGGAAGUAGGUGGAGAAGGCUUCAGUCCCACAAAACUAGCCAGGGGUUCUGGGGGCCAUGGGAGGAUAGCCAGCUGAGAUAUUGGGAAGGGAGAGGCUAUGACAUGUGGGCCCAACUGGACCUCUUAGUCACAAGUGCCCAGAAUGGACUGGGUGGGGCCAUCAGGGUUUGGCCUAGAGACGAGAGGGCAGAAAUGGAGGGGCAGAUCUGAGCUCAGAGCAGGCUCUCUGGGUGAAGAGUGGGGAGGUGACAACAGCAGGGAACCAGAAGAGAAUUGGGUGAGUAGGGAGGGGCAGCACAUGAUGGCGGGAGCCCGGGCCCUGGAGCAGAGGAAAAGGUCCAGGCAGGAGUCCAGCAUGCUUGAGGUUGACCUGGGGGACAUACAAUGUCCUGGGAAGGGAUGAGAGAGGUAGCCCCACUUCUAAGUGGCCUGGCUACAGGCAAGAUGAUGUGAUGGGCCAUGUCACAAGAGAUCCCAUUCAACACCAACUGUCCUUUCUGAUGCUGCCGAUGAGGCCCAAGUGAGGGACAUCGGCGUGCCCCCAGGAUGCCAUGGCUGGAGGAUCAUAGGAGGACAGCUAAUUUGGGGGGUUGACCACUGUUUUCCACCCCUGUAGUUUGGAAAGUGACAGCCCCUUGGCAGGGGGAGGUUGGGACCCAAGGAGUUGCAAGAGUGGGCAGGGGAUCUUUCCAGCUUCUGCUGGUCCCCCAGGAGACUGCCCACCUGUGGCAUGUGAAGGCCAAAGCCUUGAGUCUAGGUGAAGUGAGACACUCAGGCAGAAGGUGUGUGUGGGGGGGGAAGGUAGGUAGAAGGAGGUUAAGGUGGUUGUUCUCUGGAUGUACCAAGUACAGCCUGGAACCUUGCCAUGUACCAUGUUCAGGAGAGAAAGUGGGGUUGCCCAGAAUACCCUGCACCCAUGGUUUGGCCCUCUGAUCUUCCCCCAGGAAUCCCUCUUUAUGGAGAUCACAUGACUCACACCCAUGCCUGAGGCAGAGCUGAGGGUCCCUGCUGAGAGUCCCAUGCCUUGUUACUCAAAUUAUAUACGGUAAAAUCACAAAAUAUGGGGUUUGGGGUCCCUCUUGAAGAGAUCUUCCUUCUGAGGUCACCUAUCAGGUGGGGACCAAGGUGGCCUUGAGCAGGUGGGACAUCCUCUGGGCCUCAUGCUCCUGGCCUGACUGUGGGGGAUGGCUGUUGGGUGCCUGAGUCUUUAAGAGAGCCAGAGAGUGCCAUCCCACCAUGAGUGGGGUCUUACAGGGUGGGGAUCCUGUAAUGAUGGAGGGUGGUCCAGGCUGGAGAGUGCCAUCCCACCACGAUGGGUGGGGUCUUACAGGAUGGAGAUCCUGGAGGGUAGAACUGUGUUCCUGCUAUGGAGGCACCUGGUAGAGGCCCCAGGAGAGGGGAGACAAUGGUUGGGAAUGGAGAGAACACUGCCCUGGAGCAGAGUAUGUUCAGAGAAGUGCACCCCUAGGAGAGGCAAGAUGUGGGUUCCCUGUCCACCUGUGAAAAACAGGAAGCCUGGCCUCCACAGCAUCUACCUGUAGGCCCUGCUGGGUGAACUUGGCCUACAGGAGCUGUAGGUCUGGGCUGGCUCCCCCUGAUCGUGGCCCAGCAUCAUGCAGGUUCACAGACAAGGUGGGCCAUCUCCUCCAGCCUCUGGGAGCUGUUCCUGGAUCCUGAGUGGCAUUCCCACAUUUGUGGGUGAGGAAGAGCUGGGUGGCCAGAGUGCGCUUGGAGCUUAUGACACAGGGGACAGGUAACUCUUGAACUCAACUCAGCUGUAGCCCAGGAGGCUCCUCAAAGACCCCCGGGACCCAGGGUACCACAUCUUGCUCAGAGUCAAUUUCUUAGAAAUAGAAACUAUUCCACCACCCCGGUGACCACUGUGGGUAUGGGGAUGACUGACAGGAGUCCAGGAUGGGGUCCCUCAGCUUUCUGCGGUCUUUCUCCGUGGUAUCUAGGCAGGUUUGCUCUGACUCAGAAAGCCCCAAGACCAUGCUGAGCUGUGAGUACAGAGAGGAGUGCAGGCUGCUGCUGCCAGGAGCUGUAGGGAAGGGCCUUGGGCUGUUGGGUGCCUGAGCCUUUAGGAGAGCUGGAAAGUCCCAUCCUACCAGAAAGGUGGGGAUUCUGGAGGGGUGAACUGUGUUCCAGGCUGUGGAGCUAUGGGGAAGGGACACAUUGGGGUAUGGGGGGACUGAGGCCCAAUGCUGUGUCACUUGGCCUUCUGAGUCUCCACGUGUCAAAUGUCAAGUGGGGAGAUUCCCCCAUUUGCAGGUCUUUCAGUGAAGCAGAGCCCCCUCCCUUUCAUCUCCUGGGGCUGCUGUGUCUGAAUGGGGUGGGGGUGGGGCAGCAGUGGUUUUGAUGCAACUCCUGAAAUGCAACCAUAGGACUUGAUGGCGACCCCUUACCUUCAAGGAGAUGUGGGGUCUCUCCUUGGAACCAAGCAGAACCCUGCAGACCCCCCCUCCCCAAAUAUAAAACUAAACAGUUAAUGAUCAGGACAACAGAGUCACAAAGAGUCUGAUAACAUAUUUUUGAGUUGACUUUACAGAUACUAUAACUGCCACCAGAGGGAAAAUCUAACUGUGUGAUGACCAGACCACAGACAUGAAAGAAGCUGCUCCAACUCGAGCCACACGGAAUCUGUGUGUGUAUGUUAGUUGUUCAGUCGUGGCCGAUUCUUGGCAACCCCACGGACUGUAGCCCGCCAGGCUCCUCUCUCCAUGGGAUUCUCCAGGCAAGAAUACCGGAGGGGUUGCCAUUCCCUUCUCCAGAGCAUCUUCCCAACCCAGAUAAAAAGAAGUAAGAACGAAGAACUGCGGAGUUAAAAAAUGACCAGCUCUCACAAUCCUGCAGGCAGAUCACAAAGGCAAGAUAACAUCGAGAGAGAGAGGCAGCCAAUGCAUGCAAAGGAGAAUGAUAUAGCACCCAAGUUCCUGCCUCAGUGAUUCACUGAGAUUCUUUCCCUUUUUUCCCCUUUAAAACUGUCAUGGCUGAUCGGCUAUACCACAGUACAAAAUAUAUUUGGUGUUAAAAAAAAUAAAAAUAAAAUAAUAAAAAAUAA